UACAGAGACCUCAAGCGUUAUCCGGAAUCAUUGGGCGUAAAGCGUACCGAUAGGUGGUUUUGGUAGUUUUGGGUAAAAGCCGGAAGCUUAACUUCCGCGUUUGCUCAAAAUACUCCAAGACUAGAGGGACAAAGAGGUGGCUGGAACGAACGGUGUAGUAGUGAAAUGCGUUGAUAUCGUUCGGAACACCGAAAGCGAAGGCAGGCCACUGGGUGUCACCUGACACUGCUAGGACGAAAGCGUGGGGAGCGAAUGGG
rnacentral:rRNA from 1 species